rnacentral:rRNA from 1 species
UAUCAAUAAGCGGGAGGGAAAAGAAACUAACAAGGAUUCCCCCUAGUAACGGGCGAGUGAAGAGUGGGAAAAAGCCUCAACUUUGAAAUUUGGUACUUUUCAGUAUCCGAAUUGUAGUCUCAAGAAGUGUUUUCUGUGCCGGUCCAUGUAUGAGUCUGUUGGAACACAGCGUCAUAGAGGGUGACAACCCCGUUCAUGACAUGGAUCCCGGUACUUUGUGAUACACUCUCGAAGAGUCGAGUUGUUUGGGAAUGCAGCUCAAAUUGGGUGGUAAAUUCCAUCUAAAGCUAAAUAUUGGCGAGAGACCGAUAGCAAACAAGUACCGUGAGGGAAAGAUGAAAAGCACUUUGGAAAGAGAGUUAACAGUACGUGAAAUUGUUGAAAGGGAAACGAUUGAAGUCAGACGUGCGUGAUGCGGUUCAGCUUUAGUGUCGCUAGAGUGUACUCCGUAUCUUUGCAGGCCAGCAUCGGUUUUGUUAGUCGGAUAAAGGUUUGAGAAAUGUGGCAUCUUCGGAUGUGUUAUAGUCUCAGACUGAAUACGAUUGAUGGGACCGAGGAACGCAGCGCGCCGCAAGGCAAAGGUUCCGACCUUUUCGCGCUUAGGAUGCUGGUGAAAUGGCUUUAAACGACCCGUCUUGAAACAC